AACGAACGCUGGCGGCAGGCCUAACACAUGCAAGUCGAACGCUGUAGCAAUACAGAGUGGCAGACGGGUGAGUAACGCGUGGGAACCUUCCCAAUGGUACGGAAUAGCUCAGGGAAACUUGAGGUAAUACCGUAUGAGCCCCUAGGGGGAAAGAUUUAUCGCCAUUGGAUGGGCCCGCGUCGGAUUGGCUAGUUGGUAGGGUAAUGGCCUACCAAGGCAACGAUCCGUAGCUGGUUUGAGAGAAUGACCAGCCACACUGGGACUGAGACACGGCCCAGACUCCUACGGGAGGCAGCAGUGGGGAAUCUUGGACAAUGGGCGCAAGCCUGAUCCAGCCAUGCCGCGUGAGUGACGAAGGCCUUAGGGUUGUAAAGCUCUUUUGCCGGGGACGAUAAUGACGGUACCCGGAGAAUAAGUCCCGGCUAACUUCGUGCCAGCAGCCGCCGCGGUAA
rnacentral:rRNA from 1 species